ensembl:lncRNA
UGUUUACGUUCCUCCAACUCUCCAAACGAAAAGUUCUUCUUCUUUCGGAGAACCUUCAUAUCCUCUGAGAGUCGCCUCAGCUUAUCAAAUGUUGUUAACAUGCCUGUUUGUCAGAGUUUGAAAAAGGCGAGUCUGAAGAUCAUCCACUCAGAGCCAAAGACUCCGCCCACUACGGUGGAGUUAGUGGGACUGGUGGAGGAGCAGAGGAAGGAGAAGAAGAUGUAUGAGAAAUCUGCGAGGCUUUACCUCAGACAGCCCCUGCACUUCUUCCCUCACACACUCCUCCUGCAGCAGAGCUUCACCAUGGACCUCCUCAAAGGCCUUUACAUCCUGGAGACAAAGGCUGGUUUCCAUGACGACAGGGAGCUGGUCCACACCCUGACUCUGGGCUACCGGCUGCCGACUCCUUUUGUGUGCUCUGCCCUGAUCCAUCCUUUCAGCUCCAGCAUUGUUCACACACACUCACAAAUGUGUGUGAACGUAAGCAUCAACCAGACUCAUAAAGAAAUCCAAUCCAGGUUUCGGGUCGGGAGCAAAGACAGACUGACUCUGUUUGGUGAAAUCCAGUCCAACCGUUUGGGUUCAAGUCAGGAAAUGUUAAAGAUUAAAGUCAACAUGUUCAAUCAGCUCCAGCUGAAUCUGCCUUCCUCUGCUUUACUGGAAGGAGACGUUCACUGGAAACCAUCAGACAGGAAAGACUUUGAUUAUCAGGCCAAAGUGAAGCUGAGAGUGGAACGACAGGAGUGUAGAGUUUCUGUUCAUGUGAACGGAUCGUCAGGCAGAAUCAGCCUCUGUUCUACUCUCAGUCAUCCCUUCAAAUCAAAGAUUCCCAAAACGUUGGAGGUGAGCGCUGCUGCAGAGCUCUCCACUGUUCCCGGUAGAGGAAGCAGCUCCGUACGCGUUCGGGCCGAUGGGAAGGACGCGCUGCUGCUGCACGCCCAGACGUUCCAUUCCCUCCACAGAGGAGAGAGAGCUGUGGAGCUGAAGCUGAACGUCUCUCAGAGCCUCCUCCUUCCUACCAUCAGUGACCUGCAGCUCAACAUGUCUGCCAACGUGUCCUCUAACAGCGUGUGUCUACAUGGAUCCUUCACACAGGGUCACAGAGCUCUGCUCGCCCACAUUAAAGCGUCACUAAAAGCCUCUCAGGGCGUACAGAUCACUGUGACUGGAGACUUAAGACACACCAUGACACAGACUCUUCGUCUUCCUCCUGUUCUUGGGUUGGACGGAGCAUUUGGAAAGAUCGACGAUUUUAUUGAAGGACAGCUGAGAGUCAGAGUGAUGGAGACGUUGUACAGCCUGGAGCUGCUGCAUCAGACGCACACAGACAGAGACGAUGAGGAAAACUCAUCCAGCGGCUCACGUGAUUGGCUGUGUGUUACAUAUGGGGCGGAGUAUUUAUGUGUGAACAUGAGUUGCCAGGUUGGGAGCGACGAGAAGGGAGAGUUUCACACACAGGUCACACAUUCUUCCCACAUCCUCAAUGCCACAGGUGUUCCUGCCAACAGCAGCGUUCAUCUGCUGUGGACUCAGAGCGAUGGUCGACUGUCAGUCGAAGCGGAGCUGCUCAGUGGUGUUGAACGUCUCAGAGCUGAGUUGGAUGGAGGGAGGACGGAUGAUGGAGUCCCUCAGUGGCAGUUCUUCCUCCAUCUGCAGAACCGAGUCAAAGCCCUGCAGGACAGAAACAUCUCAGGCUUUUAUGAAGGUCGAGCACAUUACCAGCUAGAAACAGACGGACUGAACACAGGCCUCGUCGUUUACGUAGAAAACGUGAAGGUGGUGGAUGUUGUGUUUAAAGUGGGAGCAAAGAACCAAACAGCUGCGAUGGCUGCGUCUUUACAGCAUCAUGUGAUCCUCCUCCAAGGACUGGUUCCCUCCUCUUUACAGAUAAGCUGCACGGGGGAUUUCUCUGAACAGCUACUCACUGCUAACUGCUACGGACGUGUGGAGGAGAUGCAGCCUGUGGAGGUCUUCCUUUCUGUUGAUGGACUUUUAUCUGGACGCUACAGGGCUCAGCUCACCGUGACAGUGGACAGACUAAAGCUACUGAGCUCAGAGCUAAACAUCAGCGCUGCAGAUGGACAUCUGGCUCUACACCUCUCAGCUUCUCCUCUUAGUUUCAAUCAGACAGAACCAGCGCACAUGGUGGACGCUGUUCUCACAGCACAGUUCAAAGGGCCGAUACAAAGCUCCUCCGUAGACGUGCACAGUCCAGGGUGGAGGGUUCGUCUGCAGGGCGAUGUCGGGGGUUUGGAGACACACGGAGGAACCAAAGAGACCAGGCUGACGUUAAAGCACACCAUCAAAGGACGAACCAGUCCGGCCCUGCAGCUGACUCAGUCUAACUCCAGUGUUCUGGUUCUGGUGGAGGUCUCGUCAGGCAGGAGGAGGAGACUGUGGGCUGUGUGUGAGCUCUCAGCCAAUCAGAGCAGACGUAGUCAGGCUCUGGAAGUCAAACACUCGUAUCCACAGCUGAAACCUCUUCCCAGGACGGUGGUCAUGAGGACCACGAUGGACGCCAGGGGGUGGAGCUACGAGCUGCAGCAUGGGGUGGUGUGGGGCAGUCAGGAAGUCAACGUGUCUGCUCUGUAUUCGGCUCCACCUGCCCUGCACAUGGGCAACAACACCCUGAAGGUGCAGAUCAGCUGUGUUCCACGUGUGAGCAGCAUGGACGUCACGCUGCAGCGUUUCCUCCAUGGACGACUUGACAGUGUCUCACUGGGAUGGAUGAGACACGGCAAACUGGAGCAGGUUCGAGCUCUGAGCUCGUGGAGUCGCUCUGAGGAGACGAAUGAGACAAAGCUGGAGCUGACGCAGCCUUUCUCCUCCUCGCUACGUCACCUGUCCGUGCACACGCUGACACACAGCAGCCGUCAGCAGACAUUUUUGUCGUGGGACAACAUCUCCAUCAGUCUGGACAGGAAGUGGCAGAAUAACUCCAGCAGGGGGCAGGCGUGUGCACAACAGACAGCCUCCUCCGUUAAAGGAUGUGUGUCCGUCGUCCAAGAGGGGAACUUAUAUUCACAGAAUGCAGAGCUGAAAUGGGACAACAGGAGUGUGAAUCAAAGCCUGAAAUAUCAGAAAGCUCCACGGUCGAUGCAUCGUCUCCAGCUGAGCAUGGAGCUGGACGGAGCGUCUCCUGCUCCGUGUCAGUCCCACUCUGUACUGGUUAAAGUUCAGACCAACCUCAGGGAUCGUCUGGAUCACUGGGUCCUGCUGGGGGUGUGUCCUCUACAGCCUACUGUGUCGUGGUCAGGAUCCCACAGACUGAACGUAGACCAGAAGGUUCUCUACUCCCAGUCCCGCCUGUCGCUGUCAGGACGACCGACUCACUACAGCUUCACCCUCGGCCUCAUCAACUCAUCCAACGCUCAGACGACCAACAUCACUCUGUUCUCUGAGUCUAAGGUGGGGAACUGGAGUGUGGAGACUGGGGCCAGUCUUCUGUCCUGGUCCAGAGGAGCAGGACUUCAGGUCCAGGCUACCAUGGACCACGUGGAGAAACUGUGGAUCAGCACGUUGAUGGAGGGCAGAUGUUUUCACACCACAGCCGGCUUCAAGAACGUUUCAGGUGUGAACAGUGAGCAUUACAACGUGAAAGCGUGCGUGGAAAGGAAUCAAACUCUGAUGCUUGACGUCAGCGGCGGUGAUGGUGGUGAUGGUGGUGAUGGUGGUGAUGGUGGGGGUCAGUCUGACACUUUAGGCAGCGUGUGUGUGGGAGGAGCCAAGCAGAGGCUGUUCCUCACAGCGACUGGAUGUUUGCACAGUUUAACUACAGCAGAGGAACGACUGGAAUCCCUGAGUUCAAAGAUCUGCAAUAAACUGAGAGAGAGAGUCAGAAGAGUGAAGCAGCUGAUUGUGGAGUUUAGGCGACAGAGCAGAGACAACCAACUGCUGCAGGAGCUGAGUGUGUUGCCUCUGCAGCUCUCCCAGCGCGUGGACACGCUGCUCGUGCACAAACACACGCGCCCGUUGUUUCUGUGGCGCAGCAGCUCGCUACGUCACCUUCUCACCCAAAGCCUGCCUCGGUUCCUGGCUCUGCUGCAGCACGCCUCCAUCCUGGCACAGCAAGAACUGAAGAGGCCCCUGGCCACUCUAGCUGGCGUCUACCAGGACGUCCAGGGCCAGAGGUUGGAGACCCUGUGGAGGGAGAAGCUCCAUCUGUGGAAGGAGAAGCUCCACCAGGUUUCUUCUUCUCUCCUUCAGAACCCUCAGCUCAGGUCUCUGUCACAAGCCUCCAUCAGCACGCUGAGCACCGCUCUGGACCUGGCAGGACAACAGACUCACCUGUGGAUGGAGUCCAGGAUGGCCACGGCUCUGUCUGGACUCCGCAGACAGCUCGCCUCCGUCUACAAACUAAAUCCAUGUUCAGUGGCUUUCUCUGUGCCACUGCCACGUCUUUCUGAGUCACGGGUAGCUCAGAGUGGACUGAUGGGGGUCCUGUUGGAGGAGGGGGUCCUGACUCCUCUGCAGAGUCUGGCCCCAGUGGGACUCACAGCUGAACUGUACCGAGUGAAGAGGAAACUCAUGGACGGACCGUUCACACACCAGGCUUUGUUGGUGGCGGAUCAGUUCGUGGUCACCUUUGAUGGUCUCCUGUACGAGCUCCCAGCGUCGUGUCCUCUCCUCCUGGCACACGACACCAGUCCUGAGGCUGCGUUCACGCUGCUGCUGGGCCCGGACGCACACAGCCUCCUCCUGCUAAACGUCAACAACGUGACGGUGGACGUCCAACGUGACGGACGGGUGAAGUCAGACUGUAGCAGCAACAACAACAACAAGGCGCUCACACGCAAACACGUGACCAUCAGGAAACAUGGCAACGCUGUCCAAGUGUCCAAUCAGAAGGGAGCGUCAGUGUCAUGUGAUCUGCUGCUGGAGUUGUGCACCUUCACUCUGGAUGGAUGGUUACAUGGUGUUUCCGGUGGAAUGUUCGGGAUCAACGACUACGAUGCUGGAAAUGAUUUUCUUUUACCAAACGGAUCCAAAGCUGAAAACUCAGCGACGUUUCUCCACGGUUGGAAAAUGAAACCAGUGUGUGAUAAAGUUGCCACAUCAGCCACUUCCAGUUCAGAGAGAUGUCACUUCCUGUUUGCUUCUCCUUAUUCACCUCUGAGUUCCUGUUUCAGGGUGGUGGAUCCUGGUCAGUUCCUGUCGACGUGCGUCUCCAGCUCCUUCAGAGCGCCGUGUAGGUUAGCUGCAGCUUUCGUUCACCUGUGUCAGCGUAAUUACGUCCCACUGGAGCUUCCUGUUCAGUGCUUGAAAACAUGAAAAGUGGACGAUGUGUUGGAAGAUGAAGAUUUACAACAUUUACGGCCAAAGAUGGAGAACCGGUGGUUGUGAGUUCCAUUACUAACGUAACAAACGCCAGUAUCAAUGAACACACAGUGACCUGUAAACUCAUCAGGUGUAGCUGCUAAUAAUAUGCUAACACUAACCACAUUAAGGUUUCUUUAGUAAAACACUCAAGAUUGUAUUGAAUGGAAAAACCAAAUGUGAUUUCAUGUCACUGGUAAACUUAAUAAACGUAGUUUAUUCUUUGCUGCUGCA